rnacentral:lncRNA from 1 species
UUGUUCCACUGGAUAUUAUAAGGUGAAUGCACCAAUUUGUAAGUCGCUCUGGAUAAGAGCGUCUGCUAAAUGACUUAAAUGUAAAUGUAAAUGUUAGAGGUAGUACUGGGGCUGGGGUUAGAGGUAGUACUGGGGCUGGGGUUAGAGGUAGUACUGGGGUUAGAGGUAGUACUGGGAUUAGAGGUAGUACUGGGGCUGGGGUUAGAAGUAGUACUGGGGUUAGAGGUAGUACUGGGACUAGAGAUAGUACUAGGGCUGGGGUUAGAGGUAGUACUAGGGCUGGGGUUAGAGGUAGUACUGGGGCUGGGGUUAGAGGUAGUACUGGGGCUGGGGUUAGAGGUAGUACUGGGGUUAGAGGUAGUACUGGGGCUGGGGUUAGAGGUAGUACUGGGGUUAGAGGUAGUACUGGGGUUAGAGGUGGUACUGGGGUUAGAGGUAGUACUGGGGUUAGAGGUAGUACUGGGGUUAGAGGUAGUACUGGGGUUAGAGGUAGUACUGGGGUUAGAGGUAGUACUGGGGUUAGAGGUGGUACUGGGGUUAGAGGUAGUACUGGGGUUAGAGGUAGUACUGGGGUUAGAGGUAGUACUGGGGUUAGAGGUGGUACUGGGGUUAGAGGUAGUACUGGGGUUAGAGGUAGUACUGGGGUUAGAGGUGGUACUGGUGUUAGAGGUAGUACUGGGGUUAGAGGUGGUACUGGGGUUAGAGGUAGUACUGGUGUUAGAGGUAGUACUGGGGUUAGAGGUAGUGCUGGGGGUUAGAGGUAGUACUGGCGUUAGAGGUAGUACUGGGGUUAGAG